CCUACGGGAGGCAGCAGUGGGGGAUAUUGCACAAUGGGGGGAACCCUGAUGCAGCGACGCCGCGUGGGUGAAGGAGCGUUUCGGCGCGUAAAGCCCUAUCGGCAGGGAAGAAGGAGGAAGGUUCCUGACUAAGAAGCGCCGGCUAACUACGAGCCAGCAGCCGCGGUAAUACGUAGGGGGCAAGCGUUAUCCGGAUUUAUUGGGUUUAAAGGGUGCGUAGGCGGGCGUAUAAGUCAGCGGUAAAAAUUCGGGGCUCAACCCCGUCCGGCCGGUGAAACUGGGGGCCUUGAGUGGGCGAGAAGAAGGCGGAAUGCGUGGUGUAGCGGUGAAAUGCAUAGAUAUCACGCAGAACCCCGAUUGCGAAGGCAGCCUUCCGGCGCCCUACUGACGCUGAGGCACGAAAGUGCGGGGAUCGAACAGGAUUAGAUACCCGAGUAGUC
rnacentral:rRNA from 1 species